rfam:Dipodomys ordii contig_35977, whole genome shotgun sequence.
GGAUGUGAGGGUGAUCUGGCUGCACCAUCUGUCAACCCAUUGUUCGCCAGGGAUGAUUAGGCUAAUCUGGCUAGGCAUGUGUUCCCUUCGUCCCUCACUACUCCAUGUGCGUUCCUCCCAAAGAUGUAUGCUCUGUCGAAGAGGAUGACCAUCCCCCAUAGAGGAGGACUGGUCUUUGGUCAAGGGAGUAAGAGUAGCUGCGCUCCCCUGCCAGAACCUUGAAACAAGCUCUUAAGGAAAGGUGUCAUCAUCAUGACAUCCAUCUUUUG